UAUGUGAUCGUCUCUCGCAUAUCAAUAAGCGGAGGAAAAGAAACUAACAAGGAUUCCCCUAGUAACGGCGAGUGAAGCGGGAAGAGCUCAGAUUUGAAAUCUUAAAGGGUUUCCCUUUACGAAUUGUAGUUUAAAGAAGUGUUUUCUGUUGAGGUUUUGGUAAAAGUUCUUUGGAAUAGGACAUCAUAGAGGGUGAGAAUCCCGUAUUUGACCUUUACUUUCAACUUUGUGAUACACUUUCAAAGAGUCGGAUUGUUUGGGAAUGCAGUCCAAAAUGGGUGGUAAAUUUCAUCUAAAGCUAAAUAUUGGCGAGAGACCGAUAGCGAACAAGUACCGUGAGGGGAGAGAUGAAAAGAACUUUGAAAAGAGAGUUAAACAGUACGUGAAAUUGUCAAAAGGGAAGCGUUCGACACCAGUGUUGUUUUUCUGAAAAUCAAUUAAAGAACUGUUUAUGCUAAGUUGUUUAGACUUUAUCAGCUAUCUGUUUAGUUUUGAGCUUUUCUUUAAUGCACUUUUCAGUUAACAAGUCAACAUCAAUUUCUUUUGCUGUAAAAAAGCUUGAGGAAGGUGGCUUGAGAUUCGUCUUAAGUGUUUAUAGCCUCUUGCCUAUGCAGUCGGAGAGAUUGAGGUCUGCAGCGUAGAUCCUUCGGGGCUAAAUGCAUUUGUGCUAAGUUAUAGCAUUUUAUAGACAACUUGUUGACUAUGAUUUGUCUUGUAGCUUACUCGCUUAUGUUAUUUUACCUACGCUUAGGAUGUUGAAGUCAUCGUAUCGCGC
rnacentral:rRNA from 1 species